UACAUAUACUUUCCCAGUAGCACCAUGUGCACCUGAAUCUGUCAUACAGUCGGCUGUAUGACCCUCAGAUACAUGCCUUGAGCCAGCCAGCAAUUGCCCAUUGCCCAAAGCUCACCCUUAACACUGUAGCCAAGUUACUUUAUCUCAACCUUGCUCAAGUUUUUGUUUCUACCGCUUGUUUCCUCAUCACCUCUAAUUUAGGGACGCGGGAAACAGCGCAAAGCCACCUGCAAAUUCCUUUCCCACACCCCUGUGUAAUUGCUUUACAUGUCUAUGGUCAGAUGCAAGGCAGAGUUCAAUCAAGUGCUAUGUGCUUAAAAUUUUAGGCAGAUGACCUGCAGAGGAACUAGGAACUGCUGAUAAUGCUGCUUUGGAGCAGUUCGUCCAGGCCAAUUGCUGUUCUACCCAACCAGCUUACAUCUGGGAAACCUGGCAAAGAAUACCUUAUCUUCCCGUUCCCUCUACCCCAGCUGUGCACAGACGAGACCUGGGAAGCCCAGGCAGGCCAGACAUGCUGGUUCACGUACACGACCUGUGUGUGAGCACGCAUGGCCCCACACACAGCUAGGCACACCAGCUCACAGGCAGCUAUUGUGUUUUGAACCCCCGCUUGCUGGAGGUUGACUUUAUCGUAUUAUUUACACCAUUCUUGCCAUAACAUUUCAAGAAAUGUUUUCCUCCAGGCGCAGGAUCACGCUGUUCCUUAUCACUUUUUAUCACUGUCACUUGGACACGAUCCCGGUCUUCGGGGCGCAGUAUCACACACACAGAGGAUUUAUCACCCUUUCAUCAGCGCCGCUUGGUCAUGGCCAACCUUCCAGCAGCUUUGCGUGACCAUGAGCAAUCCCUGACGGAUUUGGGCACCGUGUUUCUGGGCAGUCUGAGAUUAUUCCUGUCAGGCUGGUGGCCGGGGGGAGAGGGGCUCCGAGCCUCGAGUGUCGGUGACUCAAGCCCCCGGGGCGGGCGUUAACGGCGCCCAGGAGGGCUCUCAGCGCUCCCUCCCCAAAAACCACCCCCGGAGCCUGUCCACACCUCCCCGUCCCGCCCCGGGGCGGCCGGAGCCCCCCGCCGCCACCGCCCAAAGGGGGAGGAAGAGGCGGGCCGGGCUUCGCCGAGCGCCGACAUGUCGCAGCCGGGGCCUAAGGGCGCCGCGGCGAAGAGUUCAACUAGUGCUAAUGUCACUCAGCCCCCCAAAACACAGACAAGCGGAGCACCUUCUACUGUCAAGGACAACACUGUAUAUUAAAGCAUAGAGCUGAGAAGAGGGAUUUUGAGCAACCUAUGAAAAAGGAGAGCUCUGCUACCGUGAUGAGUAUGUACUUUACUGUAAUGCAGUACUCCCUCGUGCAGAGUGGGAACCUGAGAAGAGUGCUGACAGUAUUGACACACUGCUUCUCGUACUUGAAUAUGACUGAAUGGAAAUAAAAUUCCUGUAUGUGCCA
rnacentral:lncRNA from 1 species